GACAGAGUGAUCAACAUGGUGUCUCAAACCCAGGUUCUUAUGGCCCUACUAUUCUGGGUUUCUGGUGCCUGUGCAGAUAUCCUGAUGACCCAGUCUCCAUCCUCCCUGGCUAUGUCAACAGGACAGAAGGUCACCAUCAGCUGCAAGUCCAGUCAGAGUCUUUCAGGUGGUAGCUAUAACUUCUUGGCUUGGUACCAGAAGAAGCCAGGGCAGGCUCCUAAACCACUGAUCUAUUGGGCAUCCAGUCGGUACACUGGGGUCCCUGAUCGUUUCACAGGCAGUGGAUCUGGGACAGAUUUCACUCUCACCAUCAGCAGUGUUCAGGCUGAAGAUCUGGCAGAUUAUUACUGUCAGCAAGGUCGCAGCACUCCUCCUACAGUGCUUCAACCUCGAACAAAAACCUCUCUAAGAUUCUUAUCAGAUGCCUGCACUACAUAG